UUAUUUGAAACGGGACACAACCCCUAACACUGGGUUUAUCUAGACACACUAAAUAAAGUGGGCCUAAAAGCAGCCAUCUUUCAAAAAGCGUUAAAGCUUGGUGUACUUAUGUCUUUAAUAUCAUAAUUUUUAUUUAACCCUUCAUCACUACUGAACCAUUUUAUACCCCUAUAAAAGUCAUUAUGCUAGAACUAGUAACAAGAAAUAGCCUUUCUCCUAAAUGUGUAUUUAAACCGAGAACGGACCCUCCACCGGUAAUUAACGCAAAUGUAAAUAAUCAUAGUAUACACGGCUAGAAAACCCUAUGUUUACUAAACGUCAACCUUACACUAGAACAUUAUAGGAAAGAUUAAAAGAGAAAGAAGGAACUCGGCAAAUUACAGUCCCGCCUGUUUACCAAAAACAUCGCCUCUUGACUAAAUAUAAGAGGUCCAGCCUGCCCAGUGACAUAGUUUAACGGCCGCGGUACCCUAACCGUGCGAAGGUAGCAUAAUCACUUGUUCUUUAAAUAGGGACUCGUAUCAACGGCAUCACGAGGGCUGUACUGUCUCCUUUCUCCAAUCAGUGAAACUGAUCUCCCCGUGAAGAAGCGGGGAUAAACCU
rnacentral:rRNA from 1 species